UUAUAUGAAAUGCCCAGAAUAGGCAAAUCCAUAAAGAUACCAAGUAGAUUACUGAUUGCUGAGGAGAUAGAGAGGAUUGGAGUGAUAACUAAAGGGUAGGGAGUUUUUGGGGUGAUGAAAAUUUUCUUAAAAACUAAAUUUUUAAGGAUGAAAAUGAAACCAAAUAUAAGUACAGAAGGAAAUGCUGAAUCAGGCCUGAGGGAUAGGUGGCAAAGAGAUAGAAAAGAUGGAAAGUACUACAUAUAUUUUCUUACCUUAAAAACUGUUGAGGCUUUUUUUUUUACCUGUUGCUUUAUAUAAUACACUUGUAAGUGCCUUCUCAUGCUGUAUUGUUGGAUCACUCUAAAUUAAGGCAUCUUCUGUGAGUUAUUAAAUACCCACUGUGUUUGUAGUUGUGCUACAGUCUGUUGAAGGACACGGAAAUGUAAUAUAAAAUAUUUCUGCCGUCUAGAGAAUUUGGAGUUUCAGUUACAUAAGACAGUAGCAAAAAGUAUAAGGUGCACAGUCGUGACAAUGUUUGAUAAGUGAAUGCUCAGUUAUGUGUAAUGUUUCCAGGACAAGGGUCACAGAGGGCUAUAUAAGUAGAAAAAAAGCUUCAUUUGGAAACUAGACAACUAAUUACAGGGUUUUUUAAGUCUGAUAACUUUUGAGAAUCAGCAACAGAAUUUUUUUUUUUUAAGUUACAGUAAAAAGGAGGGGAAGGCUGUAUAUCAGCUGUAUAUCUUCAAAGUAAUUGGUGAAAGCAGGGUUAUUGGGGAACUGCGGGGGGUGGGCGGCGAUUUUGCUAGAGUAUAAGGUUUCUACCUUUCCACUAACUAGUUCUCUGAAUUUCAUCUAAUGAUUUAAAGGUGAAUGUGGGGAUAUUUUAUUAGUAACUACCUUCUAUAUCACAUUACUGAAUUAUUCUGUACUUACUCUGAACACUGAAUGUUUGAACCAAAAACAAACUACUUCAGUAAUAGUUUUACUUCACACGUCACCCCUCUCGCAUUAGUUUUGUUAAAUCAGUUUUUUCUCAAGCUUAAUAUUUCUAACAUUUUGUCAGCAAUUAAAAGAAUUGCUAGAAAUUAGGAGUUUUCUUGAGGGUAGUAAAGGGAAAGAUUCAUGGUUUGCAGAUGAUUAUAUUACUCACUUAAUUGUUUAGCUUAUACCAGUAUUGUGAAACAAUCUUUGAUUUUUCUGUUUUUUUGAGACAGGGUCUCUCUCUGUUGCCCAGGCUGGAGUGCAGUGGCCCUGUCACAACUCACUCCAGCUUCAGCCUCCCCAGGCUCAAGUAAUCUUCCUGCCUCUGCCUCCUGAGUAGCUGGGACUACAGGCAUGCACCACCACACCUGGCUAAUUUUUUUGUAUUUUUUGUAGAGACAGAGUUUCACUAUGUUGCCCAGGCUGGUCUGGAACUCCUGGGCUCAAGCAAUCCCCUCACUUCAGCCUGCCAAAGUGCUGGGAUUACAGGCGUGAGCCACUACAUCCGGCCACAUCUUUCAUUGUUAGAAUCAUCUAUGAUGUGUCUGCAUUUUUAAGAUCACACUGUAUUUUAAAACCUAGUUUGCACAUUUGUGAUUCUAGAGAGAGACGACGACGAAGAAGCAGGAGUGGAACAAGAUCUCCUAAAAAGCCUCGGUCUCCUAAAAGAAAAUUGUCUCGCUCACCAUCCCCUAGGAGGUAAGAAUGUUAAUCAUUUAAAUGUAUUUUUUAUAUUUUUCAGAGGUUUUUCAUUUUAGAACUGUCCUGUAGUUUUUCUUUUCAGCAGUUACAGUUCUUAAGAAUGUUUUAAUGUAUUCUCUUUCUGACUUGUGACUUAAACACCAUUAAGGAUUGAACAUUUUAGUCCUAUAAACAAGUUAGUUUUGUAGCCUGUGUUACUUGUGUACUUUGAUCGUCCAAGGUUUUGAAGUUGGAUCUUUGCUGUACUACUUAUAUCCUGUGAAGUUGAGUCAGGCUCAUCAUCUAAACAAGUUAAACCUGUUGCUGUACAUUUUACUGUCAUUCUAGACAUAAAAAGGAGAAGAAGAAAGAUAAAGACAAAGAAAGAAGUAGGGAUGAAAGAGAACGAUCAACAAGCAAGAAGAAGAAGAGUAAAGAUAAGGAAAAGGACCGGGAAAGAAAAUCAGAGAGUGACAAAGAUGUAAAAGUUACACGGGAUUAUGAUGAAGAGGAACAGGGAUAUGACAGUGAGAAAGAGAAAAAAGAAGAGAAGAAACCAAUAGAAACAGGUUCCCCUAAAACAAAGGAAUGCUCUGUGGAAAAGGGAACUGGUGAUUCACUAAGAGAAUCCAAAGUGAAUGGGGAUGAUCAUCAUGAAGAAGACAUGGAUAUGAGUGACUGAAUAUUGCCUCUGAGGGAAUCCAACUGUAUACCUGCAUCAGUGUCAUUCCUUUGUGUGAUUUCUUAAUGCUGUAUUUGUUCAUCUCAAACCUAGAUGUAUACAGCUCUGAGUUAUAAAUGGUUAUAAAGCUCCUGUUACUGAUAUUAGUUAUUUACAUCAAAAAGCUUUUAGAAAAUGGUACGAGGUAACCAAUUCUUGUCAUGGUGAAAUCUGAUUGAGUAACCAAGCAGUUAUACUAUUCUGGUGCUGCUUCAUAACAAAAAUGAAAAGCUGCAUGCAUCUACAGCAGGCAUGGAUUGUUUAUGUCGUAUGAUAUCCUUUAUUAAGUAAGUUCACUUAUAGUAUUUCUAUAAUUUGAUUCAUUGCCGUAAUAGAGCCAUGUAGGAAAUGCACUGAUUGCAUGUUAUUGUGGCAAGAAUAUCCUAAAUGUCAUUAAAAUCCUCCAACAUGAUGGAUCUACUUAUGGUCUUGUUUGUUGACAUGACAAAUUAACAUUCUUAUAGUUACAUCUGGAAAUGAGCAUUUGAAAUAGAUAAUCCUUUAAGCCUUGUGGCAAAAUUUUUGUGGCUUUUGUUUAACUUUGAAAGGUUAUUAUGCACUAACCUUUUUUGGUGGCUAAUUAGGGUUUAAAUACAGAAACAAGAUUUCAAAUAAAACUGUCUUUGGCAGUGAGUAAAUAGCAGCAUAUUUUGAAGUAGAGUUGUAUACUUUUUCAUAAGAUGUUUGGGAAUUUUUUUCCUGAAGUAAUAAUUUAUUCCACAUCUACAUCAGUGAAAACUAUCUACCUAUCCUGAGUCUAUCUUAAAGGAAAAAAAAGAAAAAGAAAAACAAACCUUAUCUCUUGCCCUUAUUUUGAAUUUUCCACUCUUUCAUUAAUUUGUUUUAAGCUCCGUGUUGGAAAAAAGGGGUAGUGCAUUUUAAAUUGACCUUCAUACGCUUUUAAAAUAAGACAGAUCUACUUGAUAAUGUACCUUUAUUUGAUCUCAAGUUGUAUAAAACCAAUAAAUUUGUGUUACUGCAGUAGUAAUCUUAUGCACACGGUGAUUUCAUGUUAUAUAUGCAAAGUAGUUAGGCAACUGUUUUCUUAGUUACAGAAGUUUCAAGCUUCACUUUUGUGCAGUAGAAACAAAAGUAGGCUACAGUCUGUGCCAUGUUGAUGUACAGUUUCUGAAAUUGUUUUACAAGACUUUGAUAAUAAAACCCUUAAACUUA
rnacentral:sRNA from 1 species